AAGCUAUUGACGAGGAUGCGGUGACAGACCCUGAUUCCGACGGUGAGAAUGUAGAGGAAGUCACCGAAGGGUCAGCAGCUGAAAAAGGGGCGAGCGGGGUGAAAACGGGCGUCACCGAAACACCGAAGCGUGGCAGGGGAAGACCUCCGAAAAACAAAGGCGACAGCUCAGCUAAGAGUCAUGCGACCGCCAGUCCUGCUGCGGCUCCAGGAGCAAAGAAGCGGGGUAGACCUCCGAAGCUGAAAACUCCCUCUCGCGCUAGCGAUGGAGAGGAAGGUGGAAAGGAUAGUGAGCCUGCCAAACGAAGAGGCCGACCUCCGAAGGCAAAAACAGAUGCUUCUAAGGAAUCAGUCAGCAAGUCUUCGGAAGAGGCUCCUGCCUCGGGAGGCAAGGGUGGCAAGCCGGCUGCAGGUGAAGCUGAUCUAGCUAGUCCUCUAACCCCGAAACGCAGGGGUAGGCCACCGAAGGCUAAACCUGAAGCUGCAGAAGAGGUGGAAGUUGCGAAGAAGGCCAAAGUAGAGGAGGCUGGUGCUACACCAAAGCGUAGAGGUCGGCCUCCGAAGGUUAAAUCUGAAGCUGAGGGUGAAGAUGACUCGGUAGAGGCUCAAACACAGUUUGCCGAAGCCGCCGCUACGACGCCAACGCCGAAGAAGAGAGGCCGUCCACCAAAGGCGAAAUCGUCCAGCUGACAAAUUUGAUAUCUUUUUAGAUGCAGCCUUUUGACUAGCUAGGUUGUCAUUUUAAAGUGGCUCUUUGCUGGUGAAGUGUGCAUGUUUAUUUACUGGUGCAUUGA
rnacentral:lncRNA from 1 species